rnacentral:rRNA from 1 species
AGUACGGUCGCAAGAUUAAAACUCAAAGGAAUUGACGGGGGCCCACACAAGCGGUGGAGCAUGUGGUUUAAUUCGACGCAACGCGCAGAACCUUACCAACCCUUGACAUACUUGUCGCGGAUUCCAGAGAUGGAUUCCUUCAGUUCGGCUGGACAAUGUACAGGUGCUGCAUGGCUGUCGUCAGCUCGUGUCGUGAGAUGUUCGGUUAAGUCCGGCAACGAGCGCAACCCACGUCCUUAGUUACCAGCAUUUAGUUGGGUACCCUAAGGAGACUGCCGGUGGUAAGCCGGAGGAAGGUGUGGACGACGUCAAGUCAUCAUGGCCCUUACGGGUUGGGCUACACACGUGCUACAAUGGCAUCUACAGUGAGUUAAUCUCCAAAAGAUGUCUCAGUUCGGAUUGGGGUCUGCAACUCGACCCCAUGAAGUUGGAAUCGCUAGUAAUCGCGGAACAGCAUGCCGCGGUGAAUACGUUCCCGGGCCUUGUACACACCGCCCGUCACACCAUGGGAAUUGGGUCUACCCGAAGGUGGUGCGCCAACUAUUUAUAGGGGCAGCCAACCACGGUAGGUUCAGUGACUGGGGUGAAGUCGUAACAAGGUAACC